UACGUAGGGGGCUAGCGUUGUCCGGAAUCAUUGGGCGUAAAGAGCGUGUAGGCGGUCCGGUAAGUCCGCUGUGAAAGUCGGGGGCUCAACCCUCGAAUGCCGGUGGAUACUGUCGGGCUAGAGUGCGGAAGAGGCGAGUGGAAUUCCUGGUGUAGCGGUGAAAUGACGCAGAUAUCAGGAGGAACACCUAUUGCGAAGGCAGCUCGCUGGGACGUAACUGACGCUGAGACGCGAAAGCGUGGGGAGCAAACAGG
rnacentral:rRNA from 1 species